rnacentral:pre_miRNA from 2 species
CCAGUCCCCUAUUCACUCUGCUUCACUGAAGCCUCUUGGGGCUUAUUCAGACAAUGGUUUCAUCAUUUCGUCUGAAUAGAGUCUGAAGAGUCUUUAGUGGAAGUAUGCAC